rnacentral:rRNA from 1 species
CCUACGGCGGCAGCAGUGGGGAAUAUUGGACAAUGGGCGAAAGCCUGAUCCAGCCAUGCCGCGUGUGUGAAGAAGGCCUUCGGGUUGUAAAGCACUUUCAGUGGGGAAGAAAGCCUUGGGGCUAAUACCCUCGAGGAAGGACAUCACCCACAGAAGAAGCACCGGCUAACUCCGUGCCAGCAGCCGCGGUAAUACGGAGGGUGCGAGCGUUAAUCGGAAUUACUGGGCGUAAAGCGCGCGUAGGCGGUCUGAUAAGCCGGUUGUGAAAGCCCCGGGCUCAACCUGGGAACGGCAUCCGGAACUGUCAGGCUAGAGUGCAGGAGAGGAAGGUAGAAUUCCCGGUGUAGCGGUGAAAUGCGUAGAGAUCGGGAGGAAUACCAGUGGCGAAGGCGGCCUUCUGGACUGACACUGACGCUGAGGUGCGAAAGCGUGGGUAGCAAACAGGAUUAGAUACCCUAGUAGUC